AAUUUAUUGCAUGGUUAAUUUAUGGCAGGUGUUAAAGUGAGAUUCAUUGUAACAUACCAGAUUUUGGUGUAAAAAUAAAAAUAAAUAAAAAUAAAGUGAGAAACUAUUUUUAUUGGAUUUAGAGGAGUAAAACAUAAGUCAGAAAUGACUUGUGCUGAAAUCGGAAUGAAAACAGAAGAUUUGAAAUUUUCUGUUGGAAACGGGACAGAUAAAUUAGCAGAAAAAUGCAUAGUCUCAGAAAAUUAUAAAAAUUGGAGGAUAAGUCAGAAAUAUUUUUAUGAGACUAAAUUUAAAGUUUCAUAUUUUUCUGACACCCGUAGAGUGAGAAAUAAAAUCCGACAACUAUCUGACAAAGAUUACAAUUCGGUACAGUUUUCAGUGACCAAACGAGAUCAAAACUGAAAACUUAAGAUAUAUUCUUCCUCAGUACGUUAAACCGAGCCUGCCUGUCAAAUUUGAGCUCAAACGGACAUUCAGAAGGGCUCCAACUGUUCCGAACUGCUAAACUGCAACCCGAAGCGAAUAGUGCAUAGUUGAGGGAUUAAGUUGUAAAAAGGGGAUUGUCCCUUCCUUCUUCCCCAGCCGAAUGCAACACACACACACACGACACACACACACGCAUGUAGAUGGAGAGAGAGAAACCUCCAUUUUCUCUCUCUAAUUCUUUCCCAAAAGAGAGGGUUUUGGUGGAGAAGGAAGCUUGGAGGAAAGUCAUCUUCUUCAUCUUCCUCAUUGGCCAUUAGAGAGCAAGCUUUGAAGGUAAGCUUCAAAUCCUUUAAUGGCAUUUCUCUCUAGUUUGAUUUUUAAGCUCUAAGAAUGAGUUUAGAGGUAUUCUAGCAUGCUAAUUAGAGGUUUGAUACUUGAAACCAAGGCUCUAAUGGUGGGUUUUUACCUAGUAGUAAACCUAGGGUUUAAAAUGCUAGUUUUGUAAAUAUGAGGGUUUGAUCUCAUUUGAUCCUCUGUAAACCUAAUUGCUAGGUAAACGAACGCGUUGGCGAAGUCGGUUCGGUGAUUCGUCGAGCCGUUGUAAAGUUAUUAAAGAAACGGACGUUUAGGUUUCGUUUCCGCCUGGAGGGCCGAGGCGACAUCGUAUACUCAUGAAAACGGAUUUGAAGUAUCGUGGCACAUAACUGAAGACCCUUAAUUUUCGGAUCGUGGAUUAGAGACCGUUCGGGUGGUCGCGCGAGAGAUCGGGCCAAACCGGGUGCCGGGUGCCGCGGGAGGCCGAUUGCAAGUGUCGACAAGCAAUCGGAAUGCGAAAUGAGGUGGGUUGUGCUCACCGAAGCGACUAGAUCGCCUAUAUGUCUAAGAGUAAUGGUUUUCUAAUUGAUGCAUAUAGUUGAUGUUACUUACUGUUGAGAUAAAAUGCAUAAUGGCAUAUAAUGUGUUAAAUGCUAGAUGAAUGCANN
rnacentral:lncRNA from 1 species